rnacentral:rRNA from 1 species
AGAGUUUGAUCAUGGCUCAGAAUCAACGCUGGCGGCGUGCCUAACACAUGCAAGUCGCACGAGAAAGGGGAGCAAUCCCUGAGUACAGUGGCGCACGGGUGAGUAACACGUGACUAACCUACCUUCGAGUGGGGAAUAACCUGGGGAAACCCGGGCUAAUACCGCAUAACACUUACGAGUCAAAGCAGCAAUGUGCUUGAAGAGGGGGUCGCGGCCGAUUAGCUAGUUGGCGGGGUAAUGGCCCACCAAGGCUUUGAUCGGUAUCCGGCCUGAGGGGGCGCACGGACACACUGGAACUGAAACACGGUCCAGACUCCUACGGGAGGCAGCAGUGGGGAAUUUUGCGCAAUGGGGGAAACCCUGACGCAGCAACGCCGCGUGGAGGAUGAAGUCUCUUGGGACGUAAACUCCUUUCGAUCGGGACGAUAAUGACGGUACCGGAAGAAGAAGCCCCGGCUAACUUCGUGCCAGCAGCCGCGGUAAUACGAGGGGGGCAAGCGUUGUUCGGAAUUAUUGGGCGUAAAGGGCGCGUAGGCGGCUUGGUAAGUCUUGUGUGAAAUCUUCGGGCUCAACUCGAAGUCUGCAUAGGAAACUGCCGAGCUUGAGUAUGGGAGAGGUGAGUGGAAUUUCCGGUGUAGCGGUGAAAUGCGUAGAUAUCGGAAGGAACACCUGUGGCGAAAGCGGCUCACUAGACCAUAACUGACGCUGAGGCGCGAAAGCUAGGGGAGCAAACAGGAUUAGAUACCCUGGUAGUCCUAGCCCUAAACGAUGAUCGCUUGGUGUGGCGGGUAUCCAAUCCCGUCGUGCCGAAGCUAACGCGUUAAGCGAUCCGCCUGGGGAGUACGGUCGCAAGACUGAAACUCAAAGGAAUUGACGUGGGGCCCGCACAAGCGGUG